AAAUUGUUGGAUUGAGACUUAGAUUGUUCUUGUUUCUUGUUAUUGGGUUGCUGAAUUUUCUAUUCAGGUUUUGUUCUUAAUAAUUUGCUGGAUUGAGAUUGAGAUUGGUCGUCUUGUGA